rnacentral:rRNA from 1 species
GUAGGUGGCAAGCGUUGUCCGGAAUUAUUGGGCGUAAAGCGCGCGCAGGCGGUUCUUUAAGUCUGAUGUGAAAGCCCACGGCUCAACCGUGGAGGGUCAUUGGAAACUGGAGAACUUGAGUACAGAAGAGGAAAGCGGAAUUCCACGUGUAGCGGUGAAAUGCGUAGAGAUGUGGAGGAACACCAGUGGCGAAGGCGGCUUUCUGGUCUGUAACUGACGCUGAGGCGCGAAAGCGUGGGGAGCAAACAGGAUUAGAUACCCUGGUAGUCCACGCCGUAAACGAUGAGUGCUAAGUGCUAGGGGGUUUUCCGCCCCCUUAGUGCUGCAGCUAACGCAUUAAGCACUCCGCCUGGGAGUACGGCCGCAAGGCUG